rnacentral:rRNA from 1 species
UAUUGCACAAUGGGGGAAACCCUGAUGCAGCGACGCCGCGUGAGUGAAGAAGUAUUUCGGUANGUAAAGCCCUAUCAGCAGGGAANNUANNNANGGUACCUGACUAAGAAGCCCCGGCUAACUACGUGCCNNNANCCGCGGUAAUACGUAGGGGGCAAGCGUUAUCCGGAUUUACUGGGGGUAAAGGGAGCGUAGGUGGCAGGGCAAGUCAGAUGUGAAAGCCCGGGGCUCAACCCCGGGAGUGCAUUUGAAACUGUCCAGCUGGAGUGCAGGAGAGGUAAGCGGAAUUCCUAGUGUAGCGGUGAAAUGCAUAGAUAUUAGGAGGAACACCAGUGGCGAAGGCGGCUUACUGGACUGUAACUGACACUGAGGCACGAAAGCGUGGGGAGCAAACAGG